CCCCUUUUCAUCAGAAGGCAAAGCGCCUAUAUCAGCCUUGCCGGACAUCUGUCCGGCUAUGGCGAUAAAUGGUCGGUGUAAUAAGCCUAUUGGACCCGGGGGCGGUACCCGGCGCCUCCACCAAAAACCGGUUGGUCUUCGGACCGGCUUUUGAUGGGGGCGAAAUAGGAUCGACAAGGGUGUAAAGAUCGUACUUUUGCUCGGCAUGAUACCGCCGUUAUCGGGUCAAAAAGUGUAGUUGCAAACGACAACAACGCUAAGGGUUAUGCUCUCGCUGCCUAAUGGCGGUGCGGGAAAUCCGAACUAAGUCCUUAGGGUUAGCCCCUUAAGGCGGGGUCCGAAGGCACCUGGCAACAGAAGCCUUCACC
rnacentral:tmRNA from 1 species